GUGCUCGCUUCGGCAGCACAUAUGCUAAAAUUGGAAGGAUACAGAGAUUAGCCUGGCCCCUGCGCAAGGAUGAUACACAAAUUCGUGAAGCGUCCCAUAUUUUU
rnacentral:snRNA from 1 species